GCCUCAGUAGCUCAGCUGGCAGAGCGCACGCCUUGUAAGCGUGAUGUCGUGAGUUCAAAUCUCACCUGAGGCU
rnacentral:tRNA from 1 species